UCCUACGGGAGGCAGCAGUAAGGGAUAUUGCGCAAUGGGCGAAAGCCUGACGCAGCAACGCCGCGUGGAGGAUGAAGGCCUUCGGGUCGUAAACUCCUUUUGACGCUGACGAGGAAGGACGGUAGGCGUCGAAUCAGUCACGGCUAACUACGUGCCAGCAGCCGCGGUAAAACGUAGGUGGCGAGCGUUAUCCGGAUUUACUGGGCGUAAAGCGUGUGCAGGUGGGCUGAUAAGUGGUGUAUGAAAUCGCCGCGCUCAACGUGGCGGGGUUAUGCCAGACUGUCAGUCUAGAGGUCGAGAGAGGGAUGUGGAAUUCCGGGUGUAGUGGUGAAAUGCGUAGAGAUCCGGAGGAACCCCAGAGGCGAAGGCGGCAUCCUGGCUCGACACUGACACUCAGACACGACAGCAUGGGGAGCGAACGGGAUUAGAAACCCCGGUAGUCCAUGCCGUAAACGAUGCCAACUAGGCGCUGGCGGUCUCAACCCCGUCGGUGCCGCAGCAAACGCGAUAAGUUGGCCGCCUGGGGAGUACGGUCGCAAGAUUAAAACUCAAAGAAAUUGACGGGGGCCCGCACAAGCGGUGGAGUAUGUGGCUUAAUUCGAUGCAACGCGAAGAACCUUACCAGGCCUUGACAUGCAUUUCUAAGCGGGUGAAAGCCCGUGAGUCUCGAAAGAGAUAACUUGCACAGGUGCUGCAUGGCUGUCGUCAGCUCGUGUCGUGAGAUGUUGGGUUAAGUCCCGCAACGAGCGCAACCCCUGUGAACUGUUGCCACCGGCGCAAGCCGAGCACUCUGUUCAGACUGCCCUGUGAAACGGGGAGGAAGGUGGGGACGACGUCAAGUCAGUAUGGCCCUUACGGCCUGGGCUGCACACGUACUACAAUGCCCAGUACAGAACGAUCCGAGACCGCAAGGUGGAGGAAAUCUAUCAAAACUGGGCCCAGUUCGGAUUGGAGUCUGCAACUCGACUCCAUGAAGCCGGAAUCGCUAGUAAUGCCGUAUCAGCU
rnacentral:rRNA from 1 species